UCUAACACUAAAGCAUUGUGUUUGAUAUUUCUCGGGUUCAGACCUCUUUAGUUCACCUUAUUUUAGGAAUUUAUUACUUAUUUCAGAUUUAAUCUGAUCGGAUCAUCUCUAUUAUAUAAAGGAACAGCUGAGGUUAAUUUCGUAAUAACACUUUUUGUGUCCCCAAUAAAAAAGACUAAUGUACCCUUCACACUAAACCUUCCUGCACCUCCCUCCAGUUUCGUAAUCUCACUCCUUCCUCCCCCUCUCCCAUUUUCUCUCUCCUCCCUCACAUUUUCUCCUUCGAUCUUCUUCCUCUACGGAUCUUCUUCAAUCUUCUUCCUCAAAUCCUCUUAGAUCUUCUUCGAUCUUCACAUUUCGUGUCCUCUUUGAAGCCUAAUUGCCUAAUUGGACAAAAUCAGAAACCCUAAAUCAAAGUUUGGCGUGCAGAGGAAAGAGAAAGGGAACUUGGAAUCUUGAAGUUUGGCGGCCGAAUUCCUUCUCAACACCGACAACAACUGUUGCUCUAUCGCGAACUCCGGCGUUAGAGUUAUCCGUAUCCCGGCGCUCUCCUCCUUUCCCCCUUUCUUCGCCGGAGUUCAUUCAAACUUUCUAGGGGUUUUACUCGAUCCCAGAAAAUAAAAUUCCAAAUUCACACGCACGCUCUCUCGCUCUCUCCCAGGUAAAUCACUCAAUUUCUUUCAAUUCUCAGUUCCUUCGAAUUCAAUUUUUAAUGAUUUGGGGAAGAAAUCGAGUUCCAGCAUAUCUCUCUUUCUCUCUCUUAGGUAAAUCACUCCAUUUCUUUCAUUACUUAAAUCUUUCGAUUUCAAAUUUGUAAGAUUUGGGGUUUAGGUAAAUCACUCCAUUUUUUUUUUAAUUUGGUUAAAUCUUAAUAAUUGAACUUAGUUUCAGAUGGAAGGUGUGUAAUUGUGUCAUUGAAUUAUAAGUUUAUCUUUAUUAGAUGAUUUUUCUUCAAAAUGGAGAUGAUUCUGGAAUUUGAUUUUUGCGUUUAAUUUAAUUUUUCUGAAUUCAUGAGUUAAUUUGGUUGAUCGCACGCAUCCGAUUUUUUUGGGAUUAUUUUCUGAAUUUAAUUCUGAUUUAAUAGUUGAAUACAUUGUUUUGUAAUCUGAUUAUCUUUUGCUGGUUUGAUUCCUUGCGCCUUUUUGUUUAUGUUACCCUAUUUUAUAUAUCUGGGUUUUGCUUUUUGUUUGCUUUUGUGAAGAUUCGGAUUGAAUUUAUUCUUAUUAAUGUGAGAUUUCAUUUGUUUUGUGGGGUUAUCAAUACCUUGAUAUUGUUGUUCAUUGUUGAUUUUGGCAAGAAAAAGAGGUAAUUUACUAAUAAUUUUAAUUAUUAAUCUCUUCAAUUUAAAUUUUUAUUUCUCGGUUUUUGCUUUCGAUUGCAUGUAAUUUGUUUGAUUUUUGUCUGACAAUGGAUUUUUUUUAUUUAACAGGCGAAUAGAUCGGCAAAAUUGUAGCAGUGUAAGCUUGAUGCUCGCCGUGAACAAUGGCUUUCGCAAGGUUUGCAUCUCAGAAUAUAUCGUUCUUGCUGAUUAAGGAGGUUCAAUUCAAGCCUUCCCUGUUGCUAGGAAUUGGCCCAUUGAAGUUAUUGGUGCCAUCAUCAAUUCAUCACCGGUGAAAGUUACUUUUACACUCCCUGAACAGAUUUGUGUCUUGCUGCUGCCGUCAAUUUCAGUUAAAUAAGUGAUUCUUCAUAAUUUCGAUGAUUGAACUCAUUCUGAUAAAUCUUACCUGCAUCGGUAACCAAUUUUCUACUUAUUUAAGACUAUCAUUGUGCCACAGUUAUACUACUCCCUUAAAGUAUAUCAGGACUGUAACAAUCAGUCUAUUAUUGUAUGAGGUAAAUAUCAGUGUACUUGAAGAACUGGCUGAAGGUAUAGACAAGGGUAAAUCUUUCUUUCUUGAAUUGGUUUCUAUUAACUUUAAAAAAUAUUUGAAGAAGGAAAAAGUUUAGACUGUGUAAUUAAACUGCAGUGGGGAGAAAAAUCUGAUGUAUAUACCUAAUGUACAUGUACUGCAGUCCGAACUAAGACUGACAUCAAAAAUAUAAGUUACCUAAUGUAUAUGUACUGCAGUCCGAACUAAGACUGACAUCAAAAAUAUUAGGACUUUCAAAAAAUCGCAUGUUGGCUGAACUACAUUGUCGUAUACGAAGUAUUUGUAUGUGUUCUUUGUGUAGAUGAUGAAGGUUUUGAUGUGUAUGCAGCCAACAGGUAGUCAAUCUAAUAUCGGUAAGAACUAAGAAGUUAUUUCUACUCUGUACAAGGGAAUGACCAACCUUGGUUAAGAUUAUGAUGCCUUGCAUGCUCACAAAGUCACAACAUCAUUAAAGAACAUUGUAUAUUCUGCUGACUGCAAUAUAGAAUAUUAUGCAAUAUGCUACUGAAUGAUUCAGUGGUUUUAGUUCACUCCUUUGGUCUUUCCCGGAAAGCAAAAACUAAGGUGAGAAAACUAACUCAAACUCUAGGAAACUUAUCACAUGAUAUUGAGUUAUUCACUUACGAGUUAUUCAUCUUCUAAGUUUCCAUGUACUUUUUACUCCAUCUUUUACCACUCUCAGGUUUGCAUACCAGAAUAUACCGUUACGUUCUUGCUGACUAAGGGGGGUUCGAUUCAAGCCUUCUCCGUUUGCUAGGAAUUGGCCCAUUGAAGUUGUAUUAGUUGGACAUGCCUGUAAUCCUGUUUUAGAUAUGCGUAAAUUUUCUUUAGAUGAAAUUUAUGAACAACUUUUGUGGCAUAUUAUUUUGGGUAACCUUAUUGCAAUAAAACAGUUUAAAGUUCUGAUA